rnacentral:lncRNA from 1 species
GAUGCAAGUAAGUCCUUGGGAGAUGUGAGUGAACUUUCUGAGCUUCAGCUGAAAUGCAAGGUCUGAGUGUUACCAGGGUAUUCUUCAUUUAUUCAUUUCAUAAACAUGUAAGCAUCCGUCAGCUGCCAUGGUAGCCUGGAGAUAUAGGCAUGAAAUGAGUGUCUGUCCGUAGUGGGGUUAUAUUCUAGAGAGAAAUUAGAUAAAAGCAAAUAAAACAUAUAAAUUUAAGUCAGAGGGUAAUAAUGACAGAAAGACCAUAAAAGAAAGUAAUAGGACAGAGAGCAGGGGCGGGAUUCCUUUUUCAGUUAGAGCAAUCAGAAAAGGCUUCUAUAAGGAGAUGACAUUUAUCCUAAACCUGGAUGAAGGGGAGCUAGCCAUGUAGAGUCUGAGGGAAGCAUGUUUCAAGUGUGAGGUACAGCAUGUGCAAAGGCCCUGAGCUGGGAAAGUGCUCCAAAUGUAAUACACACUGUCCUCUACAGGGUCCUCAGCAAGGGGUCAUUUGGCCUCUGAGUGGCUGUCUGCACUGUCUGGGGCCCAUGGCUCUCAUCUCAUGGACAGUGUAAGUUAUGACAUCAUGGCUAUAGCUAUGGCAAACGUUGAUGGAGAACCUCAUGCCAACCUCUUCUCAUCUGAACCUCAUGAGCACUCCUCAGGCCCCGAGGUUCUGGUGAAUUGAGAGAGAGGGUCUUACCCACCCGCCUCCCCUCAAGGAACUUGACUGAACAAAUCAGUGCCCCUGGCACCUGGCCCAGCACCUGGCACGCAACCAGCGCCCAGCACCUGUGCACUGAAGUAUAGAAAGGGCCCCAGGAGUCUGUGCAUGUCCACCUCCUCCAGGAAGCCCAAAAGCCCUCCCUGCCCCACUGGUCCAGUCUCACCAGUUUUCCCAGCUCUCUGUGGCAAUGAGCUAGAAUGAGAGAUAUGUGAGCAUUGCAACAUCCUCUCUCUUUGCCCUCGAGGAACUGGGAAGAUAGCAUCUAUAUGGACUCCACAAGAGGGUUAGCAAUCCAGAUGGUGGGCAAGAGUACCAGAAAAGAAUCAACAAGAAAGUUUAAAAAUGAUCCAGAUAACCCCUGGUUCUUGCUUCUUUUAAAUGCAUAUGGAGAAGAGUUGAAAUGCUAUAGAAAAACAAGGAUGUGAAGUAAAACUCUCUCUUUGCUUCCCUCCCCCGUUCCACUUCCUCUUCCUAAAGCCUUGUGCCAUUCACGGUUUCUUACAUAUCUCUCCGGAAAAGGUUUAACGCAUUUGUCAGCAUCAUAAAUGCAUUAUGUAUAUCCUAUUCUUAGAAGAAGGUUCUCCCAGAAGUUAGGAGAGGUUGCUCUCUCUGCCCGAUGGUAGUUCAUUUUUAUGGGGUUUUCUCCUGUCCUGUCCUAACUGCAUUUAAGAACCAGUCCAAGGAACCAGGUGUCCUGUGUAGCCCAGCCUUGGGCUAACUGGGUGACAUCAGCAAGUCACUUCACCUCACUGAGGCUCAGUUUUCUCAUGGUGAAAAUGGGGAUUCUGGUGGGGGUGCCUUGGUAGUGUGCCUGCAGCAAGGCCUGGUUAGCUGGGAGGCGUGCCAUGCAUAUCAGAGCAUUCUCUUAGC